rnacentral:rRNA from 1 species
ACGGAAGGCAGCAGUGGGGAAUAUUGCACAAUGGGCGAAAGCCUGAUGCAGCGACGCCGCGUGAGUGAUGAAGUAUUUCGGUAUGUAAAGCUCUAUCAGCAGGGAAGAUAAUGACGGUACCUGACUAAGAAGCACCGGCUAAAUACGUGCCAGCAGCCGCGGUAAUACGUAUGGUGCAAGCGUUAUCCGGAUUUACUGGGUGUAAAGGGAGCGCAGGCGGUACGGCAAGUCUGAUGUGAAAGCCCGGGGCUCAACCCCGGUACUGCAUUGGAAACUGUCGAACUAGAGUGUUGGAGGGGUAAGUGGAAUUCCUAGUGUAGCGGUGAAAUGCGUAGAUAUUAGGAGGAACACCAGUGGCGAAGGCGACUUACUGGACGAUAACUGACGCUGAGGCUCGAAAGCGUGGGGAGCAAACAGGAUUAGAUACCCUGGUA